GGUUGGAGUAAGGGAAGAGUAAAAGAAGCAGAUGCUAUUGAAAUAGUUUAUUGGCUUGGUUCAUUAGGUACAGUCACUACCACAGAGAGCACGGAUUCCUCCAGAAGCACUCGCCAGAGAGCGCGUGAUUUAGGGGCUUGCCAGAAAGUAUGGACGAGGAUCGCUUUGAAGGAAAUAUUUGGGACAGUGUUGUUUCUGAUCCUGAACAACACAGUCUCAUCACCAGGAGAUCCAGAAUGUGGCCAGUUUCACCUUGAAACCAUGAUGUCAUAGGCCCUGGCUGCAGAUUGCCUUCCAUGUUACCUGAACUGGCACCAGGAAGGCUCUGGGCUAAAAUGUGUGGUCAAAGCCAAAUUCUGCAAGACCAAAGCAUUUUGCCCACAUCAGAGCCCCAUGCUGGUCUGGGGAUACCUG
rnacentral:lncRNA from 1 species